AAGUCGUAACAAGGUUUCCGUAGGUGAACCUGCGGAAGGAUCAUCAGUAUGAUUAAAUUCUACUAAUAACAAUAAUACUCGUUUAAAUGAAUGAGUAAUUUACCUAGUUUUACUAGGAUUCUUUUUUUUUUUUAAUUGGGACUUUUAGGAGUGUAUGAUCGUAAAAAGGAUAAAAAUCUAACCAGUUAGUAACGAUAAUUGGAGUUUGAGAGGUCGUUCCUCAUCAAACAAGAUUUUCCUUAAAAGAUUAUACUCUUGAUGGGAAUUUUCUCAUUAAGGAACCCAUUUAAAUGACAUUAAUUUUUAUCAACCGGGAAACUGACGAGGUAAAAGUCGUCAAAAUGAACAAAACUUUCGGCAAUGGAUCUCUCGGCUCUCC
rnacentral:misc_RNA from 1 species